rnacentral:tRNA from 1 species
UAGCUCAGUUGGUAGAGCAUGGUGUGUGCAACGCCAGGAUUGUGGGUUUGAUUCCCAC